UCAAUAUAAAUAUCUAUAACUGAAGCAUGGAAUUUUAAUUAUAAGUAAUACAAGCUAAUUCUAUUUGAAACAUACAAAUGGGAAAAAAUAUCAUUAAGGUUUUCAAAAUUGUUUAUAUUGUGAUUAUUUUUAUUUUUCUACUUCUUGAUACAAACGAAGGUAACGGUAUUGUUACAGUUACAGAUGUUCCAUGUAAAAGACGUAAAGAUUGUCCUAAAACUGUGUGUAUUCUUGGUUUAACACGAAGAUGUAAUGGAGCGGGUUUUUGUAUAUGUGUUUCAAGAGCUUUCCAAUAAUUCAGUUUUUAUUUAAUUUUUAUUAUUUUAUGCAACUUGUAGUUACUACUUGUACAUUAGAAUUAUAUAAAUAAAAUGAAAUACAACAUCAAUGACUAUUUUAUCAAUUGUCUUUGAUUCUCUUAAUUUUGAGA